rnacentral:rRNA from 1 species
GACGAACGCUGGCGGCGUGCUUAACACAUGCAAGUCGAACGGAAAGGCCCUGCUUUUGUGGGGUGCUCGAGUGGCGAACGGGUGAGUAGCACGUGAGUAACCUGCCCUUGACUUUGGGAUAACUUCAGGAAACUGGGGCUAAUACCGGAUAGGAGCUCCUGCUGCAUGGUGGGGGUUGGAAAGUUUCGGCGGUUCGGGAUGGACUCGCGGCUUAUCAGCUUGUUGGUGGGGUAGUGGCUUACCAAGGCUUUGACGGGUAGCCGGCCUGAGAGGGUGACCGGCCACAUUGGGACUGAGAUACGGCCCAGACUCCUACGGGAGGCAGCAGUGGGGAAUAUUGCACAAUGGGCGGAAGCCUGAUGCAGCAACGCCGCGUGCGGGAUGACGGCCUUCGGGUUGUAAACCGCUUUCGCCUGUGACGAAGCGUGAGUGACGGUAAUGGGUAAAGAAGCACCGGCUAACUACGUG